ACGAACGCUGGCGGCGUGCUUAACACAUGCAAGUCGAACGGAAAGGCCCUGCUUUUGUGGGGUGCUCAAGUGGCGAACGGGUGAGUAACACGUGAGUAACCUGCCCUUGACUUUGGGAUAACUUCAGGAAACUGGGGCUAAUACCGGAUAGGAGCUCCUGCUGCAUGGUGGGGGUUGGAAAGUUUCGGCGGUUGGGGAUGGACUCGCGGCUUAUCAGCUUGUUGGUGGGGUAGUGGCUUACCAAGGCUUUGACGGGUAGCCGGCCUGAGAGGGUGACCGGCCACAUUGGGACUGAGAUACGGCCCAGACUCCUACGGGAGGCAGCAGUGGGGAAUAUUGCACAAUGGGCGGAAGCCUGAUGCAGCAACGCCGCGUGCGGGAUGACGGCCUUCGGGUUGUAAACCGCUUUCGCCUGUGACGAAGCGUGAGUGACGGUAAUGGGUAAAGAAGCACCGGCUAACUACGUG
rnacentral:rRNA from 1 species